AUGUGCCACUUGUGCACUCUGGUUCCCACGCACCGUCCGCACCCACCUAGCGACUGCUCGCUAGGUAGUGUUAGCC
rnacentral:sRNA from 1 species